AUACUUACCUGGCAGGGGAGAUACCAUGAUCAUAAAGGUGGUUUUCCUAGGAUGAGGCUCAUCCAUUACACUGUGGGUGUGCCGACCCCUGUGAUUUCUCUAAAUGCCGGAAACUUGACUGCAUAAUUUGUGAUAGUGGGGAGCCGCGUUUGUGCUCUUCCCUG